CAAAUCGAUAAGUUUAUCGAUAGUUUAACACGGAUUAAUUGUAUUAAUCCCCGUCUUCAUCUGACUUCAGGCCGAUGAAUUUUUCAAAAUUUAUGGAUCGUUUCUCGUAGGAUGGGAGGCAGCGAAUCGACCCAGGACUGCAUCGCCUGCCGGCUAAUUUCCUCGGCUGCCGGCCUAGGAAUAGGAAGUUAUUUCCUUUUCGAAGGGCGCAGAACACCCGGAUGGGGUAAAGGGGUUUACACGAUAAUGGGAGUAGGUUUUGGAGCUGUCGGAUGUGCACGUUUGUUCAAUUACAGGCCUAGUUUUUUGCGAGAUUAAUAAAAUGGUUCAAAUCCAGUAGGCCCUCUAACGCCAGUCAGGCCAGGUAAGGAUGCCGAAUUGUCUGAAAAGUAAUCAGAUUUUCCUCCUGCUCCUUUUUCAGUCUGUAAAUUUAAAAUGGUGUAUAAAAUAAAUUAAUAAAGUAAUUAAAAAGUUUAAUUUUUA